rnacentral:misc_RNA from 1 species
UCUUUCUUUUUUUUUUUUUUUGGGGACCUUUCUGUUACCUUGGAUUGAAUCUGUAGUGCUGGUUUAUUCUUUGUGUAAAUAAUUACGUUCAACACUUGAAACAGUUCCCUCCAUUUCUGUGUGGUGAACUUUCUAUCUUCUUUCUGUUUCCCUCUUUUUUGAUUUACUUCUGUUGGCAUCAAUGAGUAUGAGUACAUAAAUCAGUCUCUUGG